rnacentral:lncRNA from 1 species
GUUUCCCAAUAAGAUCUCAGGAGUUGGGCGGGUGAGUUUAAGCAUGCGCACUAAGAGAGGCAAAAUGGCAGUUAAACUGGUUUCCGACUUUCCUCUGGAACGCUCGACUGCUUAAGAGAAAAAUGCCUCAAAUGAGCAUGUGCACAACUCCAGCAAACACGCUGGACAUGCGGCCUCUCCCAAGUGCUGGCAGGCCACUGCACAUGUGGACCCACGGGAAGAAUCAGGAGAGAAGAAAUGCAAACCCCAGAGUCAUGCCAAGAUUGCUGAUUGUGGGACUUCUCAAACUUCAGAAUCAUGAUUUGACUUGGCUAGUUUGAAAUGUAUUAUGUAUAGGAGUCAAUUUGGGAAAUACCGUGAAAAAUUAUAUUGAAAUUCAGAUUGAAGGUCCCUUUAAUUUGUAUUUGAACCUGAGGCUUAAUCAACAUUUGUGACAGUGUGUCUUCUCAUUCAGUAGCAGGAAGAUUCAAAUUGGAUCCCUUCCUUAAACCAUAUAGAAAAAUCAACUCAAGAUGGAUUAAAGACUUAAAUGUAAAACCCAAAACUAUAAAAAUCCUGGAAGACAACCUAGGCAAUACUAUCCUGGACGUAGGAACAGGCACAGAUUUCAUGACUAUGCCAAAAGCAGUUGCAACAAAAGCAAAAAAUUGACAAAUGGGACUUAAUUAAACUAAAGAGCUUCUGCACAGGAAAAUAAACUAUCAUCAGAGUGAACAAUCUACAGAAUGCUAGAAAACACUUGUAAACUAUGCAUCUGACAGAGGUCUAAUAUCCAGCAUCCAUAAGGAAGUUAAGCAAACUUACAAGAAAAAAACAAAACAAAGAAACAACCCCAGUGAAAAGUGGUCAAAGGACAUGAACAGACUUUUUUCUAAAGAAGACAUACAUGCGGCCAACAAGGAUAUGAAAAAAGCUCAAUAUCACUGAUCAUUAUAUAAAUGCAAAUCACAACCACAGUGAGAUGCCAUCUAACACCAGUCAGAAUGGCUAUUAUUAAAAAGGGUCCGUUCUAUUUUUUAACAUAACAUUUAUAAUGGUUCUUGCUGGCGCAGAGGAAGCAUUGAUUUUUAUGUAAACUUUUUUAUUAAAGUAUAACACAUAUAAAUCCUUAAAAUCAUAAUUGCACAGUUUAUUACAUUUUCACAAAAUGAACACCCUAGCACCCACAGCAAGAAGUGGGUUAUUACAAGAACCUCCAAAGUCCUCUUCUGCUCCCUUCCAAUUACAGCUUUUCCUCUGCCCCAAAUAACUACUAUGUUGAUUUCUAAUCUAUACAUUAGUUUUGCCUGAUUUUGAGAUUUAAAUAAAUGGAAUCACACUGUGUAUUCUUUGU